AAAUUUAUUGUCUUCAUGGAAAAUUAUUCUAUUAUUAAUUUUGUGGUCGUAUAAAUUAAUAUAUUAGAAUUUUUUAAAGAAUUUUAAAAAACUUAUUAGGAAAAAAGAUUUGUACCUUCGUACUUGGUAAAAUUUUUAGGUAGUUUAAAAAACAUAAAAUAAAUGGCAGUGGAAUAUUCAAAUUAAGGAAUUUUGAAAUAUAAAUUGAUAAUCCUCAUUUUAAUUUACUUUAAAAAAUUUUUUGUGUUGCGGUUUAAUAAAAUUUUUAAAGAAUUAGUUUAGUUCAAGUUUAAUAUUAUAAAUCUUUAAAGGAAAUUUUGAAAUGUAGUUUAAAAUUAAGAGUAAUUUUAUAAAAUAUAAUACCUGAUAGUAAUAGAUAAAUUAAUAAAACAGCCAUAUUCUAGGUUCAUAUCGUCCGUCACUCUCAUUUU
rnacentral:rRNA from 1 species